GCUUAACACAUGCAAGUCGAACGGAAAGGCCCUGCUUUUGUGGGGUGCUCGAGUGGCGAACGGGUGAGUAACACGUGAGUAACCUGCCCUUGACUUUGGGAUAACUUCAGGAAACUGGGGCUAAUACCGGAUAGGAGCUCCUGCUGCAUGGUGGGGGUUGAAAAGUUUCGGCGGUUGGGGAUGGACUCGCGGCUUAUCAGCUUGUUGGUGGGGUAGUGGCUUACCAAGGCUUUGACGGGUAGCCGGCCUGAGAGGGUGACCGGCCACAUUGGGACUGAGAUACGGCCCAGACUCCUACGGGAGGCAGCAGUGGGGAAUAUUGCACAAUGGGCGGAAGCCUGAUGCAGCAACGCCGCGUGCGGGAUGACGGCCUUCGGGUUGUAAACCGCUUUCGCCUGUGACGAAGCGUGAGUGACGGUAAUGGGUAAAGAAGCACCGGCUAACUACGUGCCAGCAGCCGCGGUGAUACGUAGGGUGCGAGCGUUGUCCGGAUUUAUUGGGCGUAAAGGGCUCGUAGGUGGUUGAUCGCGUCGGAAGUGUAAUCUUGGGGCUUAACCCUGAGCGUGCUUUCGAUACGGGUUGACUUGAGGAAGGUAGGGGAGAAUGGAAUUCCUGGUGGAGCGGUGGAAUGCGCAGAUAUCAGGAGGAACACCAGUGGCGAAGGCGGUUCUCUGGGCCUUUCCUGACGCUGAGGAGCGAAAGCGUGGGGAGCGAACAGGCUUAGAUACCCUGGUAGUCCACGCUGUAAACGGUGGGUACUAGGUGUGGGGUCCAUUCCACGGGUUCCGUGCCGUAGCUAACGCUUUAAGUACCCCGCCUGGGGAGUACGGCCGCAAGGCUAAAACUCAAAGGAAUUGACGGGGCCCCGCACAAGCGGCGGAGCAUGCGGAUUAAUUCGAUGCAACGCGUAGAACCUUACCUGGGUUUGACAUGGAUCGGGAGUGCUCAGAGAUGGGUGUGCCUCUUUUGGGGUCGGUUCACAGGUGGUGCAUGGCUGUCGUCAGCUCGUGUCGUGAGAUGUUGGGUUAAGUCCCGCAACGAGCGCAACCCUUGUUCACUGUUGCCAGCACGUUAUGGUGGGGACUCAGUGGAGACCGCCGGGGUCAACUCGGAGGAAGGUGGGGAUGACGUCAAGUCAUCAUGCCCCUUAUGUCCAGGGCUUCACGCAUGCUACAAUGGCUGGUACAGAGAGUGGCGAGCCUGUGAGGGUGAGCGAAUCUCGGAAAGCCGGUCUCAGUUCGGAUUGGGGUCUGCAACUCGACCUCAUGAAGUCGGAGUCGCUAGUAAUCGCAGAUCAGCAACGCUGCGGUGAAUACGUUCCCGGGGCUUGUACACACCGCCCGUCAAGUCAUGAAAGUUGGUAACACCCGAAGCCGGUGGCCUAACCGUUGUGGGGGAGCCGUCGAAGGUGGGACUGGUGAUUAGGACUAA
rnacentral:rRNA from 1 species